GUGGGAACGUACCCUUUGGUUCGGAACAACCCAGGGAAACUUGGGCUAAUACCGAAUAAGCCCUUACGGGGAAAGAUUUAUCGCCGAAGGAUCGGCCCGCGUCUGAUUAGCUAGUUGGUGAGGUAACGGCUCACCAAGGCGACGAUCAGUAGCUGGUCUGAGAGGAUGAUCAGCCUCACUGGGACUGAGACACGGCCCAGACUCCUACGGGAGGCAGCAGUGGGGAAUAUUGGACAAUGGGCGCAAGCCUGAUCCAGCCAUGCCGCGUGGGUGAUGAAGGCCCUAGGGUUGUAAAGCCCUUUCGGCGGGGAAGAUAAUGACGGUACCCGCAGAAGAAGCCCCGGCUAACUUCGUGCCAGCAGCCGCGGUAAUACGAAGGGGGCUAGCGUUGCUCGGAAUCACUGGGCGUAAAGCGCACGUAGGCGGAUUGCUAAGUCAGGGGUGAAAUCCUGGAGCUCAACUCCAGAACUGCCUUUGAUACUGGCGACCUUGAGUCCGGGAGAGGUGAGUGGAACU
rnacentral:rRNA from 1 species